UACGAAGGGGGCUAGCGUUGCUCGGAAUCACUGGGCGUAAAGGGUGCGUAGGCGGGUCUUUAAGUCAGGGGGUGAAAUCCUGGAGCUCAACUCCAGAACUGCCUUUGAUACUGAAGAUCUUGAGUUCGGGAGAGGUGAGUGGAACUGCGAGUGUAGAGGUGAAAUUCGUAGAUAUUCGCAAGAACACCAGUGGCGAAGGCGGCUCACUGGCCCGAUACUGACGCUGAGGCACGAAAGCGUGGGAGCAACAGGG
rnacentral:rRNA from 1 species